rnacentral:rRNA from 1 species
AGUGAACGCUGGCGGUAGGCCUAACACAUGCAAGUCGAACGGCAGCACAGUAAGAGCUUGCUCUUACGGGUGGCGAGUGGCGGACGGGUGAGGAAUACAUCGGAAUCUACUUUUUCGUGGGGGAUAACGUAGGGAAACUUACGCUAAUACCGCAUACGACCUACGGGUGAAAGCAGGGGAUCUUCGGACCUUGCGCGAUUGAAUGAGCCGAUGUUGGAUUAGCUAGUUGGCGGGGUAAAGGCCCACUAAGGCGACGAUCCGUAGCUGGUCUGAGAGGAUGAUCAGCCACACUGGAACUGAGACACGGUCCAGACUCCUACGGGAGGCAGCAGUGGGGAAUAUUGGUCAAAGGGCGCAAGCCUGAUCCAGCCAUACCGCGUGGGUGAAGAAGGCCUUCGGGUUGUAAAGCCCUUUUGUUGGGAAAGAAAAGCAGCAGGUUAAUACCCCGCUGUUCUGACGGUACCCAAAGAAUAAGCACCGGCUAACUUCGUG